AUGUGUGUGUGUUUGCGUCCUCAGCAGGUAACGUCAGUUUGUCGGUGUCUGUCAGCAAGAACUCGACUGUGCUGGUUGACUGGAACAGCGGGAGCAAACAGACGACCCAAUGUGCUCUGCUCGUCUCAACCGAAGGAAGACAGGAGAUCCAGAUACACCUUUUACCAUGGGCCUGUCUCUGCACCACCUCUGGUCCUGAUGUCAGAUACUCAGAGCUCUGGCAGUUACAUCAGCAUGAAAUGGUUGAGCAGCGGUGUGUUUGGAAUGACUUUAGCAACAUUUGUCAUUUUUCUAAUCUACAUUAUAUACAGAAGAUGGACGGGGAACGGCGUCUUCCAACUGCGUCUGAGAUAAAGAAAGAAUCGCCUGGGAAUUUACAGGAAUAGUUAACCCAAAUAUUAAAAUUUGCUGAAAAUGUAUUUACCUUCAGGCCAUCCAAGAUGUAGAUGAGUUUGAUUGUUCAUGGGAACAGAUUUGCAUCACUCGCUCACCAAUGGAUGCUUUGCAGUGAAUGGGUGCCAUCAGAAUGAGAGUCCAAACAGCUGAAAAAAACAUCAGAAUAAUCCACAAGUAAUCCACAUCACUCCAGUCUAUCAAUCAAUGUCUUGUGAAGUGAAAAGCUGUGUGUUUAUACGAAACAAAUGCAUCGUUAAGACAUUUUAACUUCAAACUGUUGCUUCCAGCUAAACUAUAACGCUUCCUCCAGUGAAAAAGUGAAAUUGAGAUGAGUGGUCAUCUCACAUCAAAAUCCACCCACAUAUUUGUUUAGAACUAUUUUUACUGUUUUCGUUUCUCUCCUGAUUCAGAUCAGAUGAAUUUAUCACUGGAGAAGUUAAAGUCUUAAUAAUGGAUGAGAUGGAAUGCUAUAUUUCUCCAAAUCUACAUCUUGGAUGACCUGAGGGUGAGUAAAUUUUCAGCUAAUUUUUAUUUUUGGGUGAACUAUUCCUUUAGUAGUUUACAGAAGAGACAUGUUUACUAUCACUGACAUUCAUCUCUUGUAUAUUAAUUUUGUAUUAACUAAACUGCAGUGGACCCUGGACUGGGUGGGCACCAUAUGUAAUGUGAUGUGAAUGAAAACAAGGACAGAAAUAUGGUUGUGCAUGUUGAUCAUUAACAAAAAGUCUUUCAAGUUGACAAAAAUCUAUGCAAAACAUGUGAGUUGUGAAAAUAUGACUGUUACUCCAGAUAAUGAAAUACAAUACUGAAUGGACAUCUGUUUUCAUUCACAUCAGAUUAAAAACACGGGUAACAUUUUAAUUAAAUAAUGUUAGUUAAUGCAUUAAUUAACAUUAACAAUAAAUGUUGAAAUUAACCAAGAUCA
ensembl:lncRNA